rnacentral:rRNA from 1 species
AGCGAACGCUGGCGGCAGGCCUAACACAUGCAAGUCGAACGAACUCUUCGGAGUUAGUGGCGGACGGGUGAGUAACACGUGGGAACGUGCCUUUAGGUUCGGAAUAACUCAGGGAAACUUGUGCUAAUACCGAAUGUGCCCUUCUGGGGAAAGAUUUAUCGCCUUUAGAGGGGCCCGCGUCUGAUUAGCUAGUUGGGGAGGUAAAGGCUCACCAAGGCGACGAUCAGUAGCUGGUCUGAGAGGAUGAUCAGCCACAUUGGGACUGAGACACGGCCCAAACUACUACGGGAGGCAGCAGUGGGGAAUCUUGCGCAAUCGGCGAAAGCAUGACGCCGCCCUGCCGGGUGAAUGAUGAAGGUCUUAGGAUUGUACAAUUCUUUCACCCGGGACGAUACUGACGGUACCCGGAGAAGAAGCACCGGCUAACUUCGUG